CAACCUUCCCUGCCUAAACCCACACUGCCUCCACUUCCUAGCCUGCCAACAAUGCCUAGUCUCCCCAAGGUCACCUUGCCUCCACUUCCAAGCAUGCCCUCAAUGCCCACUAUCCCUAUCCCAACAACAAUCCCCUCUAUCCCGUUCCUCUCCCCACCACCUGGAAACUAGACCAUGCUACUGCUCAUUCUGAGUUUGAUUAGUAAGCUUUCUGUCACAAGUUCAUAUCUUUUGGUCCCUGUGAAGAAAGUGUGAGGAGUUGUGCUGUUUGCUUCUGGUGUUUUUCAUUCAUUUAUAUAUUUUCGCUUCCUAUUUCCCUGUAUUUCAUUGCCUUCUUGUAUUAUACAUAUAUACCUUUAUCAAUUAAAAGAAAUGUAGUUUCAAACA